UACGUAGGGGGCUAGCGUUGUCCGGAUUUAUUGGGCGUAAAGAGCGUGUAGGCGGCCAGGUAGGUCUGCUGUGAAAACUCGAGGCUCAACCUCGAGACGUCGGCGGAAACCAUCUGGCUAGAGUCCAGAAGAGAAGAGUGGAAUUCCACGUGUAGCGGUGAAAUGCGUAGAGAUGUGGAGGAACACCAGUGGCGAAGGCGACUCUUUGGUCUGUAACUGACGCUGAGGCGCGAAAGCGUGGGGAGCAAACAGG
rnacentral:rRNA from 1 species